UCACGAAAUGGGUUGUACUAGAAGUCUGCGCGCUGACCCGCAAGGGAGGCAGCGGCCCAAGGUAUGACUCAUGAUUGGGGUG
rnacentral:rRNA from 1 species